rnacentral:rRNA from 1 species
AAUUUUGGACAAUGGGGGCAACCCUGAUCCAGUCAUCCCGCGUGUGCGAUGAUGGCCUUCGGGUUGUAAAGCACUUUUGGCAGGGAAGAAAAGGCUCUGGCUAAUACCUGGAGCUGCUGACGGUACCUGCAGAAUAUGCAUCGGCUAACUACGUGCCAGCAUCCGCAGUAAUACUUAGGGUGCAAGCGUUUAUCGGAAUUACUGGGCGUAAAGCGUGCGCAGGCGGUUCGGCAAGAAGGAUGUGAAAUCCCAGGGCUUAACCUUGGAACUGCAUUCUUGACUGCCGGGCUAGAGUAUGUCAGAGGGGGGUAGAAUUCCGCGUGUAGCAGUGAAAUGCGUAGAGAUGCGGAGGAAUACCGAUGGCGAAGGCAGCCCCCUGGGAUAAUACUGACGCUCAUGCACGAAAGCGUGGGGAGCAAAC